rnacentral:rRNA from 1 species
GUAGGGUGCGAGCGUUGUCCGGAUUUAUUGGGCGUAAAGGGCUCGUAGGUGGUUGAUCGCGUCGGAAGUGUAAUCUUGGGGCUUAACCCUGAGCGUGCUUUCGAUACGGGUUGACUUGAGGAAGGUAGGGGAGAAUGGAAUUCCUGGUGGAGCGGUGGAAUGCGCAGAUAUCAGGAGGAACACCAGUGGCGAAGGCGGUUCUCUGGGCCUUUCCUGACGCUGAGGAGCGAAAGCGUGGGGAGCGAACAGGCUUAGAUACCCUGGUAGUCCACGCUGUAAACGGUGGGUACUAGGUGUGGGGUCCCAUUCCCACGGUCCCGUGCGUAGCUAACGCUUUAAGUACCCCGCCUGGGAGUACGGCCGCAAGGCUA